AGAGUUUGAUCCUGGCUCAGGAUGAACGCUAGCUACAGGCUUAACACAUGCAAGUCGAGGGGAAACGAUAUUGGAAGCUUGCUUCCGAUAGGCGUCGACCGGCGCACGGGUGAGUAACGCGUAUCCAACCUGCCCACCACUUGGGGAUAACCUUGCGAAAGUAAGACUAAUACCCAAUGACGUCUCUAGAGGACAUCUGAAAGAGAUUAAAGAUUUAUCGGUGAUGGAUGGGGAUGCGUCUGAUUAGCUUGUUGGCGGGGUAACGGCCACCAAGGCUACGAUCAGUAGGGGUUCUGAGAGGAAGGUCCCCCCACAUUGGAACUGAGACACGGUCCAAACUCCUACGGGGGCA
rnacentral:rRNA from 1 species